GACGAACGCUGGCGGCGUGCUUAACACAUGCAAGUCGAGCGGUAAGGCCCUUUCGGGGGUACACGAGCGGCGAACGGGUGAGUAACACGUGGGUGACCUGCCCUCAGCUCUGGGAUAAAGUUCCUGGGAAACCGGGGUCUAAUACUGGAUAUGACUCCAUGACGCAUGUUGUGGGGUGGAAAGCCUUGUGCGGCUGAGGAUGGGCCCGCGGCCUAUCAGCUUGUUGGUGGGGUGAUGGCCUACCAAGGCGACGACGGGUAGCCGGCCUGAGAGGGCGACCGGCCACACUGGGACUGAGACACGGCCCAGACUCCUACGGGAGGCAGCAGUGGGGAAUCUUGCGCAAUGGGCGAAAGCCUGACGCAGCGACGCCGCGUGAGGGAUGACGGCCUGGUGU
rnacentral:rRNA from 1 species